rnacentral:ncRNA from 1 species
ACCCUGAACUGGAGGGGGAUCUGGAGUGGUGGAUUGUUCCCCGGAUAGUUUAGUUAGUUAGUUUUUAAUUUAGUUCUUGCAAAAAUUUUUAAGAAUACUAUUUGGGUUAAACCAAUUAGUUCUUAUUAAUUAUAACGAUUAUCGAUUAACAUCCAAUUCAGAACUGGCACGGACUUGGGGAAUCCGACUGUUUAAUUAAAACAAAGCAUUGUGAUGGCCCUAGCGGGUGUUGACAUAAUGUGAUUUCUGCCCAGUGCUCUGAAUGUCAAAGUGAAGAAAUUCAAGUUAGCGCGGGUCAACGGCGGGAGUAACUAUGACUCUCUUAAGGAGGAUCAUUUGUUUUUUGCGAGCAGAGAGGGAGUAUUAUUCGG